AUCCCUUUUGUGCGGCCAAGUCAGGACAAAUGAAAUUAAUCUUCUGAUGAUUUUUCUAGGGUUCCAAGAAUUGAAAAAAGUAUGGGUUCUUGGAGGAUUGGAGUGAGUGAAUCUUCCCCUCCGCCUCUUCGCCUCAUCUGGCAAAGCAUCGUCCCAUUUAGCUCUGUUGCUCAAAAUUAGCAGAAAAAUAUUCGAAACCUAAAACCCUCAAAUCAGCAAAGCGAAUUCCCACACUUAAACUUCGAAACCAACAAAUCGAUUUCAAGUGUUAAGCAGCUAGGUUCUAGGUCUUCUAAUUCCGGCGAGCUGUUUUCGUACGAACGCCAGCAAACCGUACCGUGUCGUCGUCUUGCCUUCGUCUUCCAGUUUCGAAAUUCCAAUUUAAGCGGUCGAUGAAAGCAGAGUGGGUAAGAUCAGUUGCUCUGCAGCCUCACCCUCCAAACGCUACCCCAUCACUUUGCUUCUCGGCGAUGGCAUUGGCCUCAACCUCGCCCCCUCCAUCGAUGGUUUCUUUUAAUUCUGCUUCCGUUUUCUUCCUUUUCUCAAUUUUAUUUCAGGUGCCUGAGAAACGGUGGGAAAAUUAAAAGGAAAAGUCUUUUAAUUUUCCCAUAUUUUCUUUGGGUUAAUGUUUAACAAUUUGAGCUGCUCUGUGUGUUGUAUAAUCGAGAAAUUUUGUUGGGAAAUUAGUAAUUAUGUAACAAUUGGAUAUUUGUAUAACUGAAUAUGUUUACAUAAACUAGAGAUUGAUUUUAAGUAUGAAGAAGUACCUAUUGGUGGAGCUGGCUUAGAUUUGACCCUUUUGCCAUUACCUGAUGAGACCCUUUUGUCAGCUAAGCAAUCGACGCAAUUAUUCUUCUCGAAGCAGUUGGGCGUAGGUCAUGAUUAAUUUGAAAUUUGUUGAGGGGGCCUAAUGUUACCAUUGAUGAAGUCUGUGCUUUUGGAAGGUAAGUAGUGAUAUUUAAUUAUUGUUUAUUGCAUUUUGUCAAAUUUUAUGGGAAAUUUUCUGAAUUAGGUGUGUGCUUGAUCCGAAAAAGUCUCAGAACAUUGCAAUUCUUGCUUAUUGCAUUGUGUCCAAUUUGGAAGGUAAGUUGUGAUUCUGUAAGGAUGUAUUGAAGGACCAUUUGUUUAGUUCGUUAGUGGAAUUUCGUUAUUUAUGUAUUUCCGAUAUACUUGGUACAUUGAUAAUUAAGGUUGAAAUGUCAUAAGGUUCCCUUGGUUUAUGAUUGACAAAUAAGAAGGAAUUGAAGAAGUGGGUUUAGCCUUUUAGGUUAGUGGGGAGAACGGUUACAGAAUUGUACUUGUUGUUAUUGCAGGGAAAUGAAACAUAAUUGCCGCUUCUGCAAAAUUAUUGAGUGGUAGCAAUUUGCAGAUUCCCUAUUCAAUUGAAGUAAUUUGUUUCGAAUUUUAUUUGUCUUCCUGUAAUUUUCUGAAAAAAGGGAUUGUUUUGUUGCAAAAAGCAAGGCUAUGCUCCCAUUUCUUCAAGACUUGAAGUUUUCUAUAUUCCCUGGCUUUAUCUUCGAAUUCAGGAGCAAUUCCAGAAUUCUUAGAACGUUUGAAUUUUUUGGAAUCUCUGAAUCUAUCUUAUAACAAUUUUGAGGGCAUGUUGCCGAUCAAGGGAGUGUUCAAGAAUGCAAUGGCGACAUCAGUUGAAGGAAAUAGCAAGCUUUCUGGGGGCAUAUCUGAGUUUCAUUUGCCAAAGUGCAACUCUCCAGCAUCCAAAAAAAGGAAGGAUUGAGCUUAACCAUGAAAUUGGUUCUCUCUCUCAUUUGUGGGAUUUUUGGAGUUAUUUUUGCACUAACCUUUUUGUACCUUUAUUGCUCACGGAGGGAUAAAAAGAUCGCACUUAAAGUAAUUUAGACAAACUUCCCCAGAUGUGUCAUACCAAAGUCUUCUAAGAGCAACAAAUGGAUUCUCCUCAACCAACUUGGUCGGUAUGGGCAGUUUUGGGUCCGUUUAUAAGGGAAUACUUGAGCAAAGUUAAACUACAAUUGCGAUCAAGGUACUCAACCAUGUUCAUUUAGCAGGGCUUACAAAAGUUUUAUUUAUGAGUGCGAGGCUUUCCGAAAUAUUGGACACUGUAAUCUUGUCAAGAUAGUGCAUGUUCUGGUUUUGAUUAUCGCGGUCACGACUUCAAGGCCUUAAUUUACGAGUUCAUGGCUAACGGGAGCUUGGGGGAAUGGCUAUAUCCAAUUCAUACAAUUGGUGAGACAAAUGAGAGGCCAAGGAGCUUAACAAUUUCUCAGAGUUUGAAUAUUGUUUUUGAUGUUGCUAUGGCAUUGGAUUAUCUCCAUCGUCAUUGUGAGACGCCAAUAGUUCAUUGCAACCUCAAACCUAGCAAUAUUCUUCUCAAUGAGUAUAUGAUUGCACAUGUAGGUGACUUUGGGUUGGUGAGGUUCCUACCAAAAGUUGCUGAAACACUACGAAAAAUAUGGGAUUUGGUGUACACAAAUGAAGAGUUUGUGUCUUUGAGAACACUAAUAUGGUGGAACAGUGUCCAUUCAAUAAAGGAUACAAUGUAUUGUACUCAGUGUAAAAAGAAAUGGACACAAACACAUUAUUGGGCACGAAGCCAUGCCAAGUAGUGCAUAUAUAUAUAUAUAUAUAUAUAUAUAUAUAUAAUUAUUGGUCUGACAAUUGUAUGACAAAAUAUAGGCACAAAAACUUUUAGUGUCUAUAAAUAGACAGUAGCGCACAAUUUGUUUGUGUCUGUGGAACAUGCGAACAUCUUUUUGCUGAAUUGUGAUGUUUCCAUUUCUACUA